UGAGUAACAUGUCAGCUAUCAGGCUUUGUAGUAGCAUUUUGGAUUAGAUUUCCUCUUAUAAACGAACAUAACAUCAAGAUCAAGAGUGUUAAGUAUGAAAUAGGAAAGUAACUUUUGAGUAUUAGAAAUGGGAGAGACCAUUUGUAAAUCCCUAUCAUCUGUAUUUGGUCUUACUAAAAUGUAAACUCUAGUUUUAUUAUCUUUCUUUGAAAACAAAAAUUACGAAACUUUGCGCAAAAUGUAAAAGCACAGAAUUGCCUAGUAUAGUUUAUAGUAUGUAUCCAGCUGCUGUUUUUCUUAGGGGUAAAAUUCAAGGGCAAAGUCCAAAAUACAUAUGGCUGUUUGUUCACCUUCUGCUAUAAUUCUAGAAACAAGAGUAGAAAGAUAGAAUACAUGAAAAAGUACAGUUUUCUAAAAGCAAUGGAAAUAGAUAUGUAUUCAUGAUUGAAACAAAAAAAAUAUACCAUGUUUAUUAAAAACAGAUAAGUAACAAAUAGAA